rnacentral:lncRNA from 1 species
GCUGCUAGUAGACAGGAUUCAUAAUGUUAAUUGGGAGCUUAGGAGUAGCCUAAAUCCCUAUCUUAAGUUCCGAGUGUAAGUUUUCAAUUUCCCUUAUUUUAUUUUUGGUAAAUUAUGUGAUUAUGAGAAUAUUUAUGGAUUGAUUAUUAUGAUGUGAUAUUAUGAUAUGAGACAUGUGCAAUGACUAUUGUGAAUUGUA